CUGCUGUUUUGUUUCAUCUUUCAUUGUUACACAAAACACAAUACACAGUUUCGAAAAAGAGACGAGUUUAUUGCUUAGUAAGUAAGUGAGUGCUCAAGUUUAUUAAGAUGUAGAAAAGGAAAGAUAACUUUUGUGAAAACGUUCGUGGCUGCACGAUGAAUAGCACAGCUAUUAAAGUUUCAAAAACGUGGUGGUAGUGUUCGUGUAUAAACUCUGGUGUCGUGGCUCUUGACACACUCUCCAUUCCAUGCUGUUUGGCGGAUUGGAGACCUCUGAACCAGCCAUCAUUACAACACAAUAUGCAAGUUUUGCUUCUACUGGUGUUGACCUGCCAUCAGCAACAAUCUCUUCAGUCAUUGCUUAUGGAUAAACAGCAUCCAGACAUCCAGUUUGAUUGGAAAAACUCUGUCCUCGUGUACAUCCAUGUGAAUGUGGGGGUCGGCGGCGGCUCUCUCUAUCUAGCUCGGACCCCAUAAUCGAUUCUGGAGCUCUCUCUCUCUCGCGCGGGCUCGCUGAUGCGCUCGCAUCUAUUGGUUUCUUUCCAUCUCUACACAAUGUCUAGUAUGGUGAAGUAGAGUGUAUAUGCACAUUGCACAAGAUCGACCUAUACGCAUAAGAUGAAAAGACGGCGACUAUUUUCCAUUUCAUCUCGAGUAGAGAGAGAG